GGACCCGCACAAGCGGUGGAGCAUGUGGUUUAAUUCGAUGCAACGCGAAAAACCUUACCUACACUUGACAUACUUCGAAUUUUCUAGAGAUAGAUUAGUGCCUUAGGGAACGAAGAUACAGGUGCUGCAUGGCUGUCGUCAGCUCGUGUCGUGAGAUGUUGGGUUAAGUCCUAUAACGAGCGCAACCCUCACCCUUAUUUGCCAGCGGUUAGGCCGGGAACUAUAAGGGAACUGCCGGUAAUAAGCCGGAGGAAGGUGGGGACGACGUCAAGUCAUCAUGGCCCUUACGUGUAGGGCUACACACGUGCUACAAUGGGAGAUACAAACGGUUGCCAAAGCGCGAGCUGGAG
rnacentral:rRNA from 1 species